GUCGUCGUUGUCGUUUUCUUCCGCUUCAUCCUGGUCCGGGUCGCGGGGGCAGCAGCUUCAGGAGGGAAGCCCAGACGGCCCUCACCCCGGCCACUUCCACCUCCUCCUCCGGGGGGAUUCCCAGAAAUAUAAUCCCUCCACCUGGUCCUGGGCCGGCCACGAGGUCUCCUCCCGGUGGGACAUGUCUGGAACACCUCUAACGGGAGGCGUCCAGAAGGCGUCCUAACACCUCAGCUGACUCCUCUGGACGUGGAGGAGCAGCGGUUCUCCUCUGAGCGCCUCCCGAGUGUCCGAGCUCCUUACCCUAUCUCUAAGGCUGAGCCCGGACACCCUGAGGAGGAAACCCAUUUCAGCCGCUUGUAUCUGCGAUCUUGUUCUUUCGGUCAUUACCCAAAGUUCAUGACCAUAGGUGAGGAUCGGCACGUAGAUCGACCGGUAAAUCGAGAGUCUCUCCUUACAGCUCAGCUCUUUCUUCACCACCACUGAUCGGUUAAGCGUCCGCAUCAC